rnacentral:rRNA from 1 species
CAGCAGCCGCGGUAAUACGUAGGUGGCAAGCGUUGUCCGGAAUUAUUGGGCGUAAAGGGCUCGCAGGCGGUUUCUUAAGUCUGAUGUGAAAGCCCCCGGCUCAACCGGGGAGGGUCAUUGGAAACUGGGAAACUUGAGUGCAGAAGAGGAGAGUGGAACUCCACGUGUAGCGGUGAAAUGCGUAGAGAGGUGGAGGAACACCAGUGGCGAAGGCGACCCUCUGGUCUGUAACUGACGCUGAGGAGCGAAAGCGUGGGGAGCGAACAGGAUUAGAUACCCCAGUAGUCCCUGUCUCUUAUAC